GACGAACGCUGGCGGCGUGCUUAACACAUGCAAGUCGAACGCUGAAGCUCAGCUUUUGUUGGGUGGAUGAGUGGCGAACGGGUGAGUAACACGUGAGUAACCUGCCCCCUUCUUUGGGAUAACGCCCGGAAACGGGUGCUAAUACUGGAUAUUCACUGGUCUUCGCAUGGGGGUUGGUGGAAAGGGUUUUUCUGGUGGGGGAUGGGCUCGCGGCCUAUCAGCUUGUUGGUGGGGUGAUGGCCUACCAAGGCUUUGACGGGUAGCCGGCCUGAGAGGGUGACCGGUCACAUUGGGACUGAGAUACGGCCCAGACUACGACGGGGGGCAGCAGUGGGGAAUAUUGCACAAUGGGCGCAAGCCUGAUGCAGCGACGCCGCGUGAGGGAUGGAGGCCUUCGGGUUGUGAACCUCUUUCGCUCAUGGUCAAGCCGCAACAAUGGUUGUGGUGAGGGUAGUGGGUAAAGAAGCGCCGGCUAACUACGUG
rnacentral:rRNA from 1 species